CGGCGGACGGGUGAGUAACACGUGGGUAACCUGCCUGUAAAACUGGGAUAACUCCGGGAAACCGGGGCUAAUACCGGAUGGUUGUUUGAACCGCAUGGUUCAGACAUAAAAGGUGGCUUCGGCUACCACUUACAGAUGGACCCGCGGCGCAUUAGCUAGUUGGUGAGGUAACGGCUCACCAAGGCGACGAUGCGUAGCCGACCUGAGAGGGUGAUCGGCCACACUGGGACUGAGACACGGCCCAGACUCCUACGGGAGGCAGCAGUAGGGAAUCUUCCGCAAUGGACGAAAGUCUGACGGAGCAACGCCGCGUGAGUGAUGAAGGUUUUCGGAUCGUAAAGCUCUGUUGUUAGGGAAGAACAAGUGCCGUUCAAAUAGGGCGGCACCUUGACGGUACCUAACCAGAAAGCCACGGCUAACUACGUGCCAGCAGCCGCGGUAAUAUGUAGGUGGCCAGCGUUGUCCGGAAUUAUUGGGCGUAAAGGGCUCGCAGGCGGUUUCUUAAGUCUGAUGUGAAAGCCCCCGGCUCAACCGGGGAGGGUCAUUGGAAACUGGGGAACUUGAGUGCAGAAGAGGAGAGUGGAAUUCCACGUGUAGCGGUGAAAUGCGUAGAGAUGUGGAGGAACACCAGUGGCGAAGGCGACUCUCUGGUCUGUAACUGACGCUGAGGAGCGAAAGCGUGGGGAGCGAACAGGAUUAGAUACCCUGGUAGUCCACGCCGUAAACGAUGAGUGCUAAGUGUUAGGGGGUUUCCGCCCCUUAGUGCUGCAGCUAACGCAUUAAGCACUCCGCCUGGGGAGUACGGUCGCAAGACUGAAACUCAAAGGAAUUGACGGGGGCCCGCACAAGCGGUGGAGCAUGUGGUUUAAUU
rnacentral:rRNA from 1 species